GGAGUUAGCCGGUGCUUCUUCUGUGAGUGAUGUCCUUCCUGCCGGCUAUUAACCCGCAGGCCUUCUUCCUCACUGAAAGUGCUUUACAACCCGAAGGCCUUCUUCACACACGCGGCAUGGCUGGAUCAGGGUUGCCCCCAUUGUCCAAUAUUCCCCACUGCUGCCUCCCGUAGGAGUCUGGGCCGUGUCUCAGUCCCAGUGUGGCUGAUCAUCCUCUCAGACCAGAUACGGAUCGUCGCCUUGGUGAGCCGUUACCUCACCAACCAGCUAAUCCGACAUAGGCUCAUCCGAUAGCGCGAGGCCCGAAGGUCCCCCGCUUUCCCCCGUAGGGCGUAUGCGGUAUUAGCCUGGGUUUCCCCAGGUUAUCCCCCACUACCGGGCAGAUUCCUAUGCAUUACUCACCCGUCCGCCGCUCGCCACCAGGGAGCAAGCUCCCCGUGCUGCCGCUCGACUUGCAUGUGUUAGGCCUGCCGCCAGCGUUCAAUCUGAGCCAUGAUCAAACUCUGA
rnacentral:rRNA from 1 species